rnacentral:misc_RNA from 1 species
AAGAAAAAAAAAAAAAAAAAGAGCAAAGUGAAACUGUUUGAACAGGAGUGGGAAACACGAAAUCCAUAUCAACAGAUUUUGACAUAAAAUAAAUACAUGAAACCUAUUUUAGCAACUCCUAACAGGCUAAUAGGGAAAAAAGUGCAAGAAGAGAAUAUCCCCAUCCAAUUAGAAGGGGAAAAAAUGGAUGUUCUCAACAAUUCUUGAAGGGCUGAUCAAGUAAAGAAAUUAUUCUCAGAAUUCAAAAGAUUUCCUUCAUAACCUUUUGAUCCACUAUUAUUAAAAUCAACGUAAAUUGAUUUAAAUUGCAGUGCAAAUUCAAGAAAAUGAUUCUUUGCAUGUGGACACGUAAAUUAGUAUUUGGUUGGUUCUACAACAAAGCAUUAAUUCAAAUAUUCAAUGCAUAGAAAAUUUAUAAAAUCAUAUAUGUACAAGACUUCUCCAAUGGAUAUCGAAGAAAUCAGUCCCCUAUUACCUUACCAAAUGAAAAAGAAAAGAGGAAAAAGAGUAGCACGCUUUUCAAGUCCAAUACUCCAUCCCACUAUGUUAAUUGUAUGACUUCCCAUCAAUUGAUUAGUCUCAUUCAAUAUAUUUAUCAUGCUUAACCAGUAAUUAUCAUUUUAAUUACCAGGGAUGAAUCACCUGAGCUAUAUACAUUGUUCUCCAAAAUUACCAAAAUAUAAUUACAUGGAAAAGUAAACAGAUAUACGAAUAUAAAAAUCCUCAAAAUUUUAGAAUUUGGCAAAAAAAAUAGUCAAAUGCAAUAAAAACCACCAACCCAUUACUGAGGGAGAUUGGAAAUGCAUGCAAGAAAAAAAAAA